rnacentral:rRNA from 1 species
GGCUCAGGAUGAACGCUAGCUACAGGCUUAACACAUGCAAGGUCGAGGGGCAGCACAGUGUAGCAAUACAUGGGUGGCGACCGGCGCACGGGUGCGUAACGCGUAUCCAACCUUCCCGUUACUCUUGGAUAGCCUUCCGAAAGGGAGAUUAAUACAAGAUGGUAUUCAAAUUCCGCAUGUUAUUUGAAUUAAAGAAAUUCGGAAACGGAUAGGCUCGCGUGACAUUAGCUAGAUGGCGGGGUAACGGCCCACCAUGGCGACGAUGUCUAGGGGUUCUGAGAGGAAGGUCCCCCACACUGGAACUGAGACACGGUCCAGACUCCUACGGGAGGCAGCAGUGAGGAAUAUUGGUCAAUGGUCUGACGACUGAACCAGCCAUGCCGCGUGAAGGUGACGGCCCUAUGGGUCUUAAACUUCUUUUGUAAGGGAGCAAUAAGGAUCACGUGUGGUCUGAUGAGAGUACCUUACGAAUAAGCAUCGGCUAACUCCGUG